UACGUAGGGACCAAGCGUUGUUCGGAUUUACUGGGCGUAAAGGGCGCGUAGGCGGCCACGACAAGUCAGCUGUGAAAUCUCCGGGCUUAACCCGGAACGGUCAGCUGAUACUGUCGGGCUAGAGUGCAGAAGGGGCAACUGGAAUUCUCGGUGUAGCGGUGAAAUGCGUAGAUAUCGAGAGGAACACCUGCGGCGAAGGCGGGUUGCUGGGCUGACACUGACGCUGAGGCGCGAAAGCUAGGGGAGCGAACGGG
rnacentral:rRNA from 1 species